CCUACGGGAGGCAGCAGUCGAGAAUCAUUCACAAUGGGGGAAACCCUGAUGGUGCGACGCCGCGUGGGGGAAUGAAGGUCUUCGGAUUGUAAACCCCUGUCAUGUGGGAACAAAUUAAAAAGAUAGUACCACAAGAGGAAGAGACGGCUAACUCUGUGCCAGCAGCCGCGGUAAUACAGAGGUCUCAAGCGUUGUUCGGAACCACUGGGCGUAAAGCGUGCGUAGGCUGUUUCGUAAGUCGGGGGUGAAAGGCGCGGGCUCAACCCGCGGACGGCACUUGAUACUGCGAGACUAGAGGAAGUGAGGGGGAACCGGAAUUCUCGGUGUAGCAGUGAAAUGCGUAGAUAUCGAGAGGAACACUCGUGGCGAAGGCGGGUUCCUGGACAUUAACUGACGCUGAGGCACGAAGGCCAGGGGAGCGAAAGGGAUUAGAUACCCGAGUAGUC
rnacentral:rRNA from 1 species